GCCCUUGUAGUUCAACGGAUAGAAUAAAAGUUUCCUAAACUUUCGAUCUAGGUUCGAUUCCUAGCAAGGGUA
rnacentral:tRNA from 1 species